UACGUAGGGUGCAAGCGUUGUCCGGAAUUAUUGGGCGUAAAGGGCUCGUAGGCGGUCUGUCACGUCAGGAGUGAAAACUCGGGGCUCAACCCCGAGCCUGCUUCUGAUACGGGCAGACUGGAGGUAUGCAGGGGAGAACGGAAUUCCUGGUGUAGCGGUGAAAUGCGCAGAUAUCAGGAGGAACACCGGUGGCGAAGGCGGUUCUCUGGGCAUUACCUGACGCUGAGGAGCGAAAGUGUGGGGAGCGAACAGG
rnacentral:rRNA from 1 species